GCCUAGCUGGCUCAGUUGGUAGAGCAUGUGACCUUUGAUCUCGGGAUUGUGAGUUCAAGCCACAUGGUGGGUA
rnacentral:tRNA from 1 species